CAAAAACAUGUCUUUUUGAUUAUAAUUUAAAGUCUAACCUGCCCAAUGAGGAGUUAAAUGGCCGCGGUAAUUUGACCGUGCAAAGGUAGCAUAAUCAUUAGUUUUUUAAUUGAAAGCUGGAAUGAAUGGUUGGACGAGAAAAUAACUGUCUCAAUUUAAUUGGAAUUAGAAUUUUAUUUAUAAGUAAAAAAGCUUAUAUGAAUUUAAAAGACGAGAAGACCCUAUAGAAUUUAAUAUAUUAAUAUGUUUAUUAUUUUAGAAUUUUUAUUUAUAUAUAUAUAGAAGUAUAUUUUGUUGGGGCGAUAGAAAAAUUAAUUAAACUUUUUUUAUAUUUUAACAUUAAUGUAUGUGUAAGUGAUCCGUUUAUUACGAUUAAAAGAUUAAAUUACCUUAGGGAUAACAGCGUAAUUUUUUUUUAGAGUUCUUAUCGAAAAAAGAGUUUGCGACCUCGAUGUUGGAUUAAAAUUAACUUUUGGUGUAGGGGCU
rnacentral:rRNA from 1 species